CAGCCGCCGCGGUAAUACGUAGGGUGCAAGCGUUAAUCGGAAUUACUGGGCGUAAAGCGUGCGCAGGCGGUUUGUUAAGACAGAUGUGAAAUCCCCGGGCUUAACCUGGGAACUGCAUUUGUGACUGGCAAGCUAGAGUCUUGUAGAGGGGGGUAGAAUUCCAGGUGUAGCGGUGAAAUGCGUAGAGAUCUGGAGGAAUACCGGUGGCGAAGGCGGCCCCCUGGACAAAGACUGACGCUCAGGUGCGAAAGCGUGGGGAGCAAACAGGAUUAGAUACCCGGGUAGUCCCUGUCUCUUAUAA
rnacentral:rRNA from 1 species